GGAUGGGAAGGUGAUCUGGCUGUGACUUUUGUUAUGCUGCUGAUCACAAGGAUUGAUUUGGCUGCUCUGGCUGGCUAGUCAGGAGCCCUUUCCUCCCUCAUUGCUCCAUAUUCAUCUCUUCUGAAGCUGCAUGCAUGGUGGAACAGGACAACCAUCUUCAGUAGGACGAAUAUUUAAGAGUACUCAAUGUAUGCAUUAAAACAGAGAGGUAUGUUCACAUUUAGGCAUCUAAGUAAAUUGUUGUCAGCCACAGUUAUUACUU
rnacentral:sRNA from 1 species